rnacentral:rRNA from 1 species
UCCCAGACUCCUACGGGAGGCAGCAGUGAGGAAUAUUGGUCAAUGGACGAGAGUCUGAACCAGCCAAGUAGCGUGAAGGAUGACUGCCCUAUGGGUUGUAAACUUCUUUUAUAUGGGAAUAAAACAGGGUAUGCAUACCCUCUUGUAUGUACCAUAUGAAUAAGGAUCGGCUAACUCCGUGCCAGCAGCCGCGGUAAUACGGAGGAUCCGAGCGUUAUCCGGAUUUAUUGGGUUUAAAGGGAGCGUAGGUGGAUUGUUAAGUCAGUUGUGAAAGUUUGCGGCUCAACCGUAAAAUUGCAGUUGAAACUGGCAGUCUCGAGUUGGAGAGAAGUAUGCGGAAUGCGCGGUGUAGCGGUGAAAUGCAUAGAUAUCGCGCAGAACUCCGAUUGCGAAGGCAGCAUGCCGGCUCCACACUGACGCUGAGGCACGAAAGCGUGGGUAUCGAACAGGAUUAGAUAACCCGGUA